GGGGUGGCUCUCUAUGGCAAAUUGUUGGACCCUGGGAGAAGUUAUCAUCAAUCAUGGGAGGAUAAGCGUUUUUGGUGGCACUAACAACUCGCUGAAAAUUGUUUUUUGUCUACAACGGGUGUGGCUUUUUCCUCUUCUAUUUGUUUAUAUAUUGGCCCGUUAUACAAGACCUUAGUACAAGCGAUUAUAC